UACGAAGGGGGCUAGCGUUGCUCGGAAUCACUGGGCGUAAAGCGCACGUAGGCGGAUUGCUAAGUCAGGGGUGAAAGCCUGGAGCUCAACUCCAGAACUGCCUUUGAGACUGCAUCGCUAGAAUCAUGGAGAGGUAAGUGGAAUUCCGAGUGUAGAGGUGAAAUUCGUAGAUAUUCGGAAGAACACCAGUGGCGAAGGCGACUUACUGGACAUGUAUUGACGCUGAGGUGCGAAAGCGUGGGGAGCAAACAGG
rnacentral:rRNA from 1 species